AAACGUAGGUGGCAAGCGUUAUCCGGAAUUACUGGGCGUAAAGAGAGUGUAGGUGGCUUAAUAAGUCACAUGUGAAAUCCCUCGGCUUAACCGAGGAAGUGCAUGUGAUACUGUUGAGCUAGAGUGCAGGAGAGGUGAGUGGAAUUCCUAGUGUAGCGGUAGAAUGCGUAGAGAUUAGGAGGAACACCAGAGGCGAAGGCGACUCACUGGACUGUAACUGACACUGAGACUCGAAAGCGUGGGGAGC
rnacentral:rRNA from 1 species